GAAUGAAGAACGUAGCGAAAUGCGAUAAGUAAUGUGAAUUGCAGAAUUCAGUGAAUCAUCGAAUCUUUGAACGCACCUUGCACCCUUUGGCAUUCCGAAGGGUAUGCUCGUUUGAGUGUCAUUGUACUCUCACACUCUCCGAUCCUAUGGAUUCGGGGAGCGGUGGACUUGGGUGUUGCUGCCUUUCCUUGUGGCUCACCUCAAAUGUGUCAGUGCACCUCUUGGUUGGACAUAGUACGGCGUGAUAAGUGUCUUCGCCGGCACCUCGCAAGAGGGUGGCCGAUCGGGAGCUCUGUGCUUUCAAACCGUCUUCGGACAAUUUCUGACAACUUGACCUCAAAUCGAGUAGGACUACCCGCUGAACUUAAGCAUAUCAAUAAGCGGAGGA
rnacentral:misc_RNA from 1 species